GAAGGACUGCAGCUCAGUGGCAAAGCAUCUGCUUUGCAUGCAGAAGGUCAGAUUUCAAUCUCGGGUAUCUCCA